AUUGAACGCUGGCGGCAGGCCUAACACAUGCAAGUCGAGCGCGCGGCGGACGGGUGAGUCAUGUAUGUGGGCCUGCCCGAUAGGGGGGGAUUACUACAGGAAACGCUGGCUCAUACCGCAUACUGACGGAUGUACCCCUAUGGGAUUAGCUAGUGGGUAAGGUAAAGGCUUACCUAGGCGACGAUCCCUAGCUGGUCUGAGAGGAUGAUCAGCCACACUGGAACUGAGACACGGCCCAGACUCCUACGGGAGGCAGCAGUGGGGAAUAUUGCACAAUGGGCGAAAGCCUGAUGCAGCCAUGCCGCGUGUAUGAAGAAGGCCCUAGGGUUGUAAAGUACUUUCAGUCGGGAGGCGUUACCGACAGAAGAAGCACCGGCUAACUCCGUGCCAGCAGCCGCGGUAAUAC
rnacentral:rRNA from 1 species